rnacentral:rRNA from 1 species
UACGAAGGGAGCUAGCGUUGUUCGGAAUCACUGGGCGUAAAGCGCACGUAGGCGGCUGUGCCAGUCAGGGGUGAAAUCCCGGAGCUCAACUCCGGAACUGCCUCUGAUACAGCACGUCUUGAGUCCGGAAGAGGUGGGUGGAAUUCCUAGUGUAGAGGUGAAAUUCGCAGAUAUUAGGAAGAACACCGGUGGCGAAGGCGGCCCACUGGUCCGGUACUGACGCUGAGGUGCGAAAGCGUGGGGAGCAAACAGG